rnacentral:rRNA from 1 species
CUGACCUCGGAUCAGACGCGAAUACCCGCUGAACUUAAGCAUAUCACUAAGCGGAGGAAAAGAAACUAACCAGGAUUCCCCUAGUAACUGCGAGUGAAGGGGGAUUAGCCCAGCACCGAAGCCUGUGGCCGUUUGGCUGCUAGGCAAUGUGGUGUUCAGGUUUUCUCUUGGCAUAACUGCUCCAUCCUAAGUCCAGCACUGAGUAUGGCAUCUGGAA